rnacentral:rRNA from 1 species
UACGAAGGGGGCGAGCGUUGUUCGGAUUUACUGGGCGUAAAGGGCGCGCAGGCGGUCGUUCAAGUCGCGUGUGAAAGCCCCCGGCUCAACUGGGGAGGGUCACGCGAUACUGAUCGACUCGAAGGCAGGAGAGGGUAGUGGAAUUCCCGGUGUAGUGGUGAAAUGCGUAGAUAUCGGGAGGAACACCAGUGGCGAAGGCGACUACCUGGCCUGUUCUUGACGCUGAGGCGCGAAAGCUAGGGGAGCAAACGGG